CAAACGGCCCUUUUCAGGGCCACCUAAUUAUGGAAAGAGAACGUUAU
rfam:Ciona savignyi cont_2305, whole genome shotgun sequence.